rnacentral:lncRNA from 1 species
UUGACAUCAUACUGAAUAAUUACAUUUAUGAAUAUUUGUAUUCUGCUAGGAUAACCAAAUUACUUGUAUAACUUAUUAAUGAAUCCCUACAUUUGAAACCCUUAAUACUUGUAUGCUUUGUAAUAUACUAAACUUUGGUGUUUGAUAUCAAAAAUGGUGUGUCAACUAUAUAUCAUGUCAAUAAUAGGUGUGAAUAUGAAAUGCUUAUCCAGGUGCUUCAAAGCUAACAUUUGUAUCAUACUUACUCAAUGGUCAUCUUUUCAUUUAC